UCACCCCGAAACAGUUAGAUGAAAGGUUCAAAUAAUUCAACUGAACUUUUGGAUUGUCUUGAAAAUGUUCCAAACUCUCAGUUUUGCCUCACCACAGUAAUUAGGCACCUGAGUAGACUUUUAAUCUCAUCUACCCUUAUAUUUUAUUUCAUUUUUUUUUACUCUUCUACUUUUUCACUCAUUGUUUUACAGUCCUUACUGGCUGUCAGCAACUGCCUUGAUGUUCUUGUGCAGCUAUGACACACAACCUGCCGUUGACAGACACCAGUGACAGAUCUGUAGAGUUGGCUUGACUCAGAUAAGAUAAAGGCUAAGGUGAGAAAGUCAUCGAGGUUGAAUUAGCCAGCUGGCGGUUCGGCUUGCCAGCUCUGGAGUUGCUAGGCUUCUCUGUUUGUUUCGGUGCAGUUUUGGCAUCGGCUUGACGGUUUCACGUUGCUUUGGAUGGAUGUUUCACCACUUCAUCUGUUCAGUUCCUGUUGUGCUAAAUGGUCCGCACGUUAUUUGUCAGCGGACUACCUCUGGAUAUAAAGCCGCGGGAGCUGUAUCUCCUGUUCAGACCAUUUAAGGGUUAUGAGGGAUCAUUGAUAAAACUCACCUCAAAACAG